CCGAAAUCGAAAGUUGACGCCGCCCGCAGCGGGUCUUGUUUUUUUUCUGAGGCCCGCGCCUUUUUUCCCUUUGGGGCCACAAAUGCGACGGACACCGAAAGGGACGCGAUGCCAAAAAGAAGCCGGUCGCUUUUUUUUUAAAAAAAUUUUGUGGACUCUUUGGCCAACGGCAAACACGCAGCGCCCGGUCCACCGCACUGUGCAAAAUACAAAAACCAAAACAAGAUAUUGUCGUCGAGGACCAAGAGCCAAAUGGCCUAGACCAAAACAACAAGAUUUCAGAGUCAACCGCAGGGGCACUUUUGGCGACAGCCAACUGCAUCCAAUCUCAUCAGGGAGUCUCUGGCGGUCAGGCUCCUUGACUAUCGCGGCCACCGACCGACAACAAAUGUUUGGUCUCUGUGCCCCUUUUCGCCGGUCGCGACUCAAAACCCCUUGUUGCACCGCAUCUUUUUUUAAAAAAAAACAAAGCCAUGGCGCGCAACCAAUGACUGCACAGGAAUUUAUUUGAGUAGUGGGUGUGCGACAAGAAAAAAGAAACACCGACGGCGAGGUGCCGACAGAGGCUGGGUUUUUUCGAUCCAGAGGUCCACAGGUCUUUCUGCACACGCGGCUCUUGCCCCUGGCCCGGUCUUUUUUUGUUUCCGGUCGACAUGGCCCAAAAACAGACAAAAACCGGAAAACCCCACACAAUUAUCGGGCGAUCGCAUCGUCGCCAAGGGACCGUUUUUUCCUCUGUCUCUCUGUCUCUCUCUGUUCCCAUUUCCUUCAACGCGUGCACAGACGAGGCAAGCGGUGGGCCGACUGGCUAGGGGACUAGGAGCGCUCGAUGCCGUCGGGGCGCACCGUCAGCGAGAGGACCGCGCCCUGGUCGAUGCAGGUGGCGUACGGCGAGCCGCUGAAUUGGCCGUGGAGGCCGAUGCACUGGACCCGCUUGGCGGUGGGCGUCCCAGAGUACGUGCCCGCGCGCGCUCCGGGCGCCAGCACGGUGUCGCUGGCGCCGCCGCCGUAAAAGGCCAGGUGCAAGUAGAGGUUCGUGCCGAGGUCGUUGGCGAUUUCGACGUGCUGCGCGGCCGGUGUCGUCAUGGCGGGUGGUGGCUCGUUGUCCUUGGGCGUUGGCCCUCGCGCUCUGUCGACGAUCCACAAGACGACACCAACGGAUGGACGACCGCGCGUCGCACCGGUCCGUCCGGCAGCACGCUCGUCGUCCAAAAGAGAGAGAAAAGGUCGUGCCUUUUCGCGCCUGCGGCAGCGACGCAGUCUCUUGUCCCGAUGCCUCUUUCCUGCCCUUUUCUUUUUUUUGUCUUUUGGUUUUUUUCUUAAAAAGACAAAAAGAUCUCUGCGGGACCUUGUCUUUUUGUGCGCCUGCUUGUUUGCCUUUUUUUCUUUUUUUUUCAAAUUCCGAG
rnacentral:lncRNA from 1 species